rnacentral:tRNA from 1 species
AGCUAAAUAGUUUAAUCUAAAACAUUAGUUUUGUAAACUAAAAUUAUCUCAUAAGUUUUUAGCUU